rnacentral:rRNA from 1 species
AACGCGAAGAACCUUACCUGACCUCGAACGGCAGGUCAACGACUGUAGAAAUAUGGUUACUCCGCAAGGAGGUCCUGUCGAGGUGCUGCAUGGCUGUCGUCAGCUCGUGUCGUGAGAUGUUGGGUUAAGUCCCGCAACGAGCGCAACCCUUGUCCUGUGUUGCCAUCAUUUAGUUGGGCACUCUCAGGAGACCGCCAGCGAUAAGUUGGAGGAAGGUGGGGACGACGUCAAGUCAUCAUGGCCUUUAUGUCCAGGGCUACACACGUGCUACAAUGGUCGGUACAAUGGGUUGCCAACCCGCGAGGGGGAGCUAAUCGCAAAAAACCGGUCUCAGUUCGGAUUGCAGGCUGCAACUCGCCUGCAUGAAGCUGGAAUCGCUAGUAAUGGCGCAUCAGCAUGGCCCCUUGAAUACGUUCCCGGGUCUUGUACACACCG